rnacentral:rRNA from 1 species
GACGAACGCUGGCGGCGUGCUUAACACAUGCAAGUCGAACGGAAAGGCCCUGCUUUUGUGGGGUGCUCGAGUGGCGAACGGGUGAGUAACACGUGAGUAACCUGCCCUUGACUUUGGGAUAACUUCAGGAAACUGGGGCUAAUACCGGAUAGGAGCUCCUGCUGCAUGGUGGGGGUUGGAAAGUUUCGGCGGUUGGGGAUGGACUCGCGGCUUAUCAGCUUGUUGGUGGGGUAGUGGCUUACCAAGGCUUUGACGGGUAGCCGGCCUGAGAGGGUGACCGGCCACAUUGGGACUGAGAUACGGCCCAGACUCCUACGGGAGGCAGCAGUGGGGAAGAUUGCACAAUGGGCGGAAGCCUGAUGCAGCAACGCCGCGUGCGGGAUGACGGGCUGCGGGUUGGAAACCGCUUUCGCCUGUGACGAAGCGUGAGUGACGGUAAUGGGUAAAGAAGCACCGGCUAACUACGUG